GGAGAGUCACUGGGAACUGCUGGAACUCCCAAAAAGCCAAGGGAAGCAGCACCAGGCAGGAAAAGAAAAGGGGAAGCAGUUCCACGUGAUUUCUGGGCAGGCAUUGCAACAAAAUAUAUGAAGAUGGAGCUGACCAGCUAGGAAGAAGGAUUUAGAAGUGCUAAGCAUCGGAGGAUGGUCCACUAGGAAAAGUGGGGCACUGCCUCACCUACAUCAGCCCACCUCCUGCCUGCCUGCCUGCCUUCUCACGUACAGCAACCAAUCAGGAAGUAUCUCUGCCUGUCAUUGGCUUUGGCUUCACUUACACCCUUUUAUACAGGACUCGAGGAAAUCCCACUGAAUUGGAAUGGACUGAAAUAACCAUCAAAAUAACGAUAAGGCAACGUUACAUGAUUCUAUUGCUCCUGGAGUUCCCUGAGUUUUGGAAGGAGAAUGGUAAAGACUUUGCAUAGAAGUGCUUGCAGCUUUCCUCUUUGCUUAGCCUCAGACAUUGUGGAUUGAACAAGUAAUAGAAGCAAAGCAUUGAUUUCAGCAUAAAGUUGAUUCUUCAUUGGCAUUGCUCUGGUCCAAGGUUUCCAAAAGCUCUCCCGAAGGGGCUCAGUUUAUCUCUAACCGGAUCUCGGCCUGGACAGGAGCAGAACUUCCUAAAAGUACAAUCCGAGAGAGUCAUAUAGGAGUCUUCAAAGAGCCUACCACUGGCUCCAGCUCUGCCCACUGCCAGCAUGUGGCCCCUGGCAUAUUACCCUUGAGGGAAUGUGGCCCUUGGGUAAAAAGGACUUCCAUCCCUUCUUGAGGCCUUACCACAAACUGUGCAAUGUCCAGAUUGUAUGGGAAGAUAUACAGAAGCCUGGAAUCCAUCUUGAUCUAAAUAAAAACAAGAGGAUGACAACUUGAAACAUGCAAAAGA